rnacentral:lncRNA from 1 species
AAGACCGGAAGUGUCCCGAGGCCGGGAGCCCGCGGGACCCCGGAGCGCGCGGGGCCGGAAGAGGCGGGCGGCCAGUGGAGGUCCGCAGAGUUUGGGCGCCAGGCGAGACGGCAGGGCUUAAAGUUCCGGGAAUCAAAGAUCAACUCCCACUGAGGACAAAUGGACCUGUAAUUCCGGGUGUGACGAGAGAACGAGAUUUACCUUCCUGAAUUAAAAAACAGGUCAUUAAGCUUGGGCCCUGACUCUUCUUUGUGAGAAGGUACAGAGAUGGAAACCUUACAAUCCGAGACUAAAACGAGGGUCCUUCCCUCAUGGCUGACAGCCCAGGUGGCUACAAAGAAUGUGGCACCAAUGAAGGCCCCCAAGAGGAUGAGAAUGGCAGCAGUGCCAGUGGCAGCAGCAAGGCACUGGAAUUGCUACAGUUUAGUCCGCAUGAUCUCUCCUGAAGGAGGAAGCCUGUUUCAAAAAUAGUUUCCAUCAUGAGUCUAUCAAUGAGCUCCCACCUCUCCAGCCAGCCUAGAAAGCAAACGAGCUGCCCACAGUUCUCUGCCCUGUCUGGGAGGUUGAGGCCACAGUGUAUAGACUGGUAAGCCAGACAGGCCUCCUCCCGCAAGCUGCUACCUUGCUUUCACCUGUACCUUGGUCCCCGGGCAGCUAGCUAUAAAGCAAGAGGGACAGGAGCCCAGAAGAGACACUGAGGACAAGAGAUCACACCAGAGUACAUGUCUCUGCCUCUGUUUUCAGUGUGGCUUUGGACAGGAAUAUAUGAAUAAAUCACUGCCAUACAGGUUUUCCAAUACACAAGUGCUAGAAAAUACACACAAUUCCCCAAUGCGU